GACGAACCGUGCGAACGUUAUUCGGAAUCAUUGGGCGUAAAGAGCUCGUAGGCGGUCUGUUGCGUCCGCUGUGAAAACUCGGGGCUUAACCCCGAGCCUGCAGUGGAUACGGGCAGACUAGAGGUAGGUAGGGGAGAAUGGAAUUCCCGGUGUAGCGGUGAAAUGCGCAGAUAUCGGGAGGAACACCGGUGGCGAAGGCGGUUCUCUGGGCCUUACCUGACGCUGAGGAGCGAAAGCGUGGGGAGCGAACAGG
rnacentral:rRNA from 1 species